rnacentral:rRNA from 1 species
GAUGAACGCUAGCUACAGGCUUAACACAUGCAAGUCGAGGGGCAGCAUGAUUGAAGCUUGCUUCAAUCGAUGGCGACCGGCGCACGGGUGAGUAACACGUAUCCAACCUGCCGAUAACUCGGGGAUAGCCUUUCGAAAGAAAGAUUAAUACCCGAUGGUAUAAUUAGACCGCAUGGUCUUGUUAUUAAAGAAUUUCGGUUAUCGAUGGGGAUGCGUUCCAUUAGGCAGUUGGUGAGGUAACGGCUCACCAAACCUUCGAUGGAUAGGGGGUUCUGAGAGGAAGGUCCCCCCACAUUGGGAACUGAGACACGGGUCCAAACUCCUACGGGAGGCAGCAGUGAGGAAUAUUGGUCAAU